rnacentral:lncRNA from 1 species
UGAUGCAUCGUUGGUCCGGCGUACGACGGCGCCUGGUGCGAUUUAUGCGUCCGGAAGCCCUUUCAGCCUCCCAGGCAUGUCCCACCUGCCUCACAGCCACCGACGCACCUCACGGCGGGGUUCUAAUUGCGUGCGCGUAUGGAUGCUCCUUACCCCGCCGCCUUUCUAGCAACUAGUUGAUGUUAUGAUGCAUCGGUGGUCCGGCGUAAGACGGCGCCUGGUGCGAUUUAUGCGUCCGGAAGCCCUUUCAGCCUCCCAGGCAUGUCCCACCUGCCUCACAGCCACCGACGCACCUCACGGCGGGGUUCUAAUUGCGUGCGCGUAUGGAUGCUCCUUACCCCGCCGCCUUUCUAGCAACUAGUUGAUGUUAUGAUGCAUCGGUGGUCCGGCGUAAGACGGCGCCUGGUGCGAUUUAUGCGUCCGGAAGCCCUUUCAGCCUCCCAGGCAUGUCCCACCUGCCUCACAGCCACCGACGCAUCUCACGGCGGGGUUCUAAUUGCGUGCGCGUAUGGAUGCUCCUCACCCCGCCGCCUUUCUAGCAACUAGUUAUGUUAUGAUGCAUCGGUGGUCCGGCGUACGACGGCGCCUGGUGCGAUUUAUGCGUCCGGAAGCCCUUUCAGCCUCCCAGGCAUGUCCCACCUGCCUCACAGCCGCCGACGCUUCUCACGGCGGGGGUCUAAUUGCGUGCGCGUAUGGAUGCUCCUAUUCCUGCCGCCUUUCUAGCAGCUAGUUACUGUUAUGAUGCAUCGUUGGUCCGGCGUACGACGGCGCCUGGUGCGAUUUAUGCGUCCGGAAGCCCUUUCAGCCUCCCAGGCAUGUCCCACCUGCCUCACAGCCACCGACGCAUCUCACGGCGGGGGUCUAAUUGCGUGCGCGUUCGCAUGCGGCAUGUUCCGCCACCUUUCUGGCAUCUUGUUGAUGGUAUGAUGAAUCGUUGUGCGGUGUAGGGCUGCGCCUGAUGCGAUUUCGUUUGCGGAAGCCCCCCCUGAGUGCUGCCAAGCAUGUUAUUCUCUCAUGAGACUGUGUGAAGGUUUACGAACUGAGUAUGCGACCAACACAUAAAACAUCGCAUGCGAAUUGUUAUGUCAUGCGAUUCAUCAAAGGUAAAUCGUGUGUGCUUGUUGUGUGUUAGCUUAGGCCGCAUUAAGCUUGACGCAACGAGCCUUCAUACGCUUGAAACGCAACAUUUGUUUGCAUGCGAAUUGCGUUGCGAUAUGUGUGCGUUUGGUAAGUGUUAGGCUGCGUUAAGCUUUACGCAAUGAGCCUUUAUACGCAUGAAACGCAGCAUGUAUUAGCAUGCGAAAUGUGUGGCGACAUGUGUGCGUUUGGCGAGUGUUAGGCCGCGUUAAGCUUUACGCAAUGAGCCUUUAUACGCAUGAAACGCAGCAUG